rnacentral:lncRNA from 1 species
CUCUUCUCGGGUGGAAGUCCCACAGGAAACAGAGGAGGGAGAGAAUACUUUGGGUCUUUUUGGGAAUGACUUCCCAAAAGAAAAAAAUAAUAAAUUGCUAGAGAAGGAAGGAGAGACCCAGGGAAGGGAGGAAGAAAAGAAGAAAUGAGAGCCCGCUGCUGUGCCACUGCUGCUGUCGCCCACGACUCCAUGGAAGGCUGAUCUCCUCUCUAGGGCCGGAUGUAGCCCUAACAAAGGGCCAAGGGUUUUAUAUUUUUGAUUUCUAUUCUUGGAGUUGUAUAAACCUUAUUUUGUUCUUAAUGAAUAUUUU